UUACGGCCAUAUCAGGUUGAAACACCGUUUCCCGUAUGAUCAUCGAAACAACGUCGAGCAUAGCCAGUACCUAGAUGGGUAACCGCUUGGGAAUAACAGGUGUUGUGA